AAUUUUCAACGAUGGAUGUCUUGGCUCCCAUAUCGAUGAAGAACGCAGCAAGAAUGCGAUAUGCAAUGUGAAUUGCAGAACCAUGAAUCAUCGGAUCUUUGAACGCAACUGGCGCUGAUUUACCUCAGCAUACUUGUUUCAGUGUGCGCAAACAACUACACUACUCAAAUGUGAGAGAAAUUCUCUCAUGAAAUACAUGCUCACUGCAGCAGUCACAUUUAUUUGUGAGCUUCAGUGCUGACUCACUGCCUUCUUUGCACCUGAAGUCAAGUAAGAUGACCCGCUGGACUUAAGCAUAUUACUAAGCGGAGGAAAAGAAAUUAACAAAGAUUGCCUUAGUAAGGGCGACUGAACCGGCA
rnacentral:misc_RNA from 1 species